rnacentral:rRNA from 1 species
AGAGUUUGAUCCUGGCUCAGGACGAACGCUGGCGGCGUGCCUAAUACAUGCAAGUCCAACGAGAACGUUUCCUUCGGGAAGCUAGUACAGUGGCGGACUGGUGAGUAACACGUAGGCAACCUGCCCGGGAGAAGGGAAUAACCCCGCUAACGCGGGGCUAAUGCCGUAUAAUGCAGCGGAUCCGCAUGGAUCUGCUGUUAAAGUGGGGGAUCCUUCGGGACCUCACACUUCCGGAUGGGCCUGCGCUCCAUUAGCUUGUUGGUGAGGUAACGGCUCCACCAAGGCGACGAUGGAUAGCCGACCUGAGAGGGUGAACGGCCACACUGGGAUUGAGAUACUGCCCAGACUCCUACGGGAGGCAGCAGUAGGGAAUAUUGCGCAAUGGUCUAACGACUGACGCAGCAACGCCGCGUGGGUGAUGAAGCUCUAAGGAGUGUAAAGCCCUGUUAGGAGGGACGAAACAGCGGGUUUUAAAUAAGGGCCCGUUUUGACGUAGCUCCAGAGAAAGCACCGCUAACU